GUAAAUAUAUGUACGGCAUAUACAGUGAAAGAUAAAUAUAGGAUAAGUAUUUCACUUAUAUUUACCCGGAAAUGUUCAGCGCGGCUGGUAUAAAUUUGCAAUAAUUGUAUGAGGAUCUAUGUACUGUACUACUGCAGUAGUAUUACUACUUCCUCUACUACGCAGUAUUUUCAUGUACUGCGCUGUCUUUGUCCUCAGUGACUGUGUUCACAGUUUAUCGUUGAAGUCAGCCUGAGCGUCCAGAUUCUUUUUUAACUCCUCCAUGCCACCCAAGAGAGACGCAGGCGUGAGUUCAACACACACACAGGUAAAGAUGAUAAAGAUCGGCACAGAGGCUCAGGAGUUUGGCUGUGUUUCAGGAGAGGAUAAGUACAGGAUGGAAUCCAGUUACUCACCUUUCCCAGACAAUGAGCCUGAUACUAUUGAAUUUGAGGAGGAGAACAUUGCAAGUCCAGGCAUCAGAACAGACACCGUCAGCCUGCUCAUGAAAAUAGAGCAACUGCAGGCUCAGCUGAAAUAUGAACGCAGAUGUAGAAUUUUGGCAGAGAGAGAACUAAGGGAACUCAAAGAGAUGAACACCCUGAUGAUGCAGAUGAGGCACACAGCACAUGAGCUACGUGUCACUCUGGAUCACGUUCUCCAAGGAGGCGAGGCAGCAGGAGUGCCACAAAGCACAGAUGAAGCCAUCUCUUUCUUGAGCGAGCCUGAGAUGAGAGGAGUUCAUAGCAUUCCAGAGGAUGACCACAACUUCCUGUAUCUCUCUGAGAAUCUAAGAGUGCCAAAAAACUUAUACGAGCGCGUUGCAGAGAUCGCAGAUUACAAGAAGUACACCUCAGCGUUGCUGAUGAUUCUCUUUGACAGAGAAACACUGGCUACACACUCUUUGCAGGGCCGAAGAAACACCUUUACAGGAGAUGAUUGCCACAAGCCUCAACUCCCCCCUGACGUUCUGAAAAGUAUAAUUGAUCAUGUGGCAGUAAAGUUCGGUGUUGACAGCAGCCAAAUAAAAACUGCAAUCCGCACAAAGUUGAACAAUGAGGAUAAAUUACUGAAGAAGAGACUGGGUUUGGUUAAAACGGAACACAAAGCUGUUGUUGAUCAAAACUUUUCCCAAGAUGCUUCACUCCUGACUGAAAACGGCGCGUUGACAAAUGACUCUCAGUUGUAGCAUUUCCAGUCCGCCUUCGUGUGCCGGUCACUAGUAUUUCACGUGUGAUAGAAGUGUGUGUGACGGUUGCCUUUUUUUGAUCUGCUUCUAGUUUAUCCUGCGAUUAAAUCUAGUGCUUGAAGUUAUUUUUUAAUCACUUUUUAGAAUUCUAUUUUUUUUACUUUGCCAUGUUUAAAUGUGUAACCUGGUAAACAGAUACAGGCAUUCAGUAGCACUCUAAAUAUUACAUGUGGUGAAAACAAGUGUUCUUAUUUAAAUGGCCUUACUGUAUGACAAACAGUAAGUGACUAAAAAACAGGUCUGUGAAGUCAGUCUUUGUCAAGUAUUUCAAUCAGUAUGUGUAAAUAUGACAUGUUACAAAACAAUACACAACUCCUCUGUACCCUGUAAGCUGAUGACAAACUGUGUGUUAAAACCAGUGAUGCUGUGUUUUUAAUUCAUUUUCAGCAUCAGAAUAAGCCAGUCCGUCCUCACCAGAAAAAUGUCACAUGAGGUCGUUUUGGGACUCCAUCUAUGAUCAUAUGUUCCAUUACUGCAAACUUGAAAUAAUGUUGUAUGUCUUAAAAAAACAUGUCUAUAUGUGUCAUCAGCCGAAACCUGACCAUGAGGUGUGUUAUUGUCCAAAUGUGGCGUUUUUUUUUAAUUGUGAGGACGUGUUGCAAUAAGCUGUAAGUGAUUAUUAUAACCUUCAACAACAU
rnacentral:lncRNA from 1 species